CAGCAUAUGAGUGGCCUCGUUCAGUGCUCGAGGGGUGGCAGCAGAAUGUGUCCUUUUUCCUCCGCUUGGUAUUGCUUGUAAGACCUUUCAAUCUGAGAUGCAGAGGUUGCCGCAGCAUUCCAGGUCAGGGGUUGGAUUGCUGCAACAUGCUCCGCUGGGGACCGAGCUUACAGCUGAAACCAAGGGAGAAGUCAGCUAGGGCAGCCAUGAUAACCUUUUUAUUAGGCAGCAGGUCUUGCAAGAAAUCUGCUUCAUGUCUGCCUCAUGACUUGAAUUUCUAUUUUCCUCCCAUUAUUUUCCAGGUGCACCAUAAAGAUUUUGUUUUGAACUUUUUUUAAUUGCUACAGAUUUUUGGUCUUGGUUACUUUUUUUUUUUUUUGAGGACUUUUCUUCACCAUGUACAGCAAUGGAUGUGACAUGACUGAUCUUUUCAGUGAAAGAAUGCUGGUGGGCUUUGCCUGUGGUUUUAAAGUCCACAACCUGUAGUCCCGGGAUGGACCGUAGCCAGUGCUCCCUGCAGUGCCUGAGCCGUCUGUGCAAAGGAUGGAUUGAUCCCCCCUACUCAUCUCCCACAGGCUGGAUGAAGAGGACAUUUGGCUGGGUGUCCUGUGUUUCUGCACUGGUGCAAUGUGCCUUGUCACCUUUGGUGAGGCGUAUUGAUUUGAUUAGCAUCUUGAAGACAUUACAUAAACAGCCACCCAGGGAAAGCAAGACACUGAAUCUCAGGAAACGUCCAGGUGACAAACAAGAGGCGUGCAGAUAACCCGAAAGGGCAGCUUGUCAGGAGAGCAGAGAUGGGCUCAGUAUUUCCAAGAACUGGGCACAGAAGAGCAGCAGAGGAAGGCAGCGAUACGUCGCCUGAUGAGGAGCUCUUCUCCCAGCAGAGAUCCAGCAGUGAGAGUAGACUGAAGGUAAGUAAAACAACCUACAUUUUUUCCCUGGUCUGUGUGUGGAAGAAAGGGCCCAAGACUAUAAGCCCACUGAUAAUGUGAUAAUGUAAUCUGAGUUGAGGAGUCCUUGUUUCAUAAUUUAUCGGAUCACGUUUUGAU
rnacentral:lncRNA from 1 species